rnacentral:rRNA from 1 species
UACAGAGGUCCCAAGCGUUGUUCGGAUUCACUGGGCGUAAAGGGUGCGUAGGUGGUUGGGUAAGUCUGAUGUGAAAUCUCCGGGCUCAACCCGGAAAUGGCAUUGGAUACUAUUCGGCUAGAGGUUUGGAGGGGGGACUGGAAUUCUCGGUGUAGCAGUGAAAUGCGUAGAUAUCGAGAGGAACACCUGCGGCGAAGGCGGGUUGCUGGGCUGACACUGACGCUGAUGCGCGAAAGCCAGGGGAGCGAACGGG